UACGAAGGGGGCAAGCGUUGUUCGGAAUUACUGGGCGUAAAGGGCGCGUAGGCGGCCUCUUAAGUCGAACGUGAAAUCCCCGGGCUCAACCCGGGAACUGCGUCCGAUACUGGGGGGCUUGAAUCCGGGAGAGGGAUGUGGAAUUCCAGGUGUAGCGGUGAAAUGCGUAGAUAUCUGGAGGAACACCGGUGGCGAAGGCGGCAUCCUGGACCGGUAUUGACGCUGAGGCGCGAAAGCCAGGGGAGCAAACGGG
rnacentral:rRNA from 1 species